CUAAAACCAAACCCUAACAAAAACAAAUGCCAAGCAAAAAAAAAAAAAAAAGAAAAACCAACUAACCCCCAAACCACGGAGCCCUGGGGGAAGCGGAAUUUUUCAGGGCUGCUCAGUGCGCUGUCUGAGAAGGUGCGUGUAAUUUGUAACUGUUUGCUGAACAUGAACCAAGUGUGGGUUGAGGAUGAAGUUGAGAUGAGAAUAAAGUAACCCUUGUCUUUAGCACUUGGGAUAACUUAGAAGUGCCUCUUUUCUCCAGAGGCUGUGGAUCCAGUGGCCCAGGCUGCGAGUGGGUGCUGCCUGCGGCCACAUUUUUUGCAGAGCAAAGCAAAAGGAAACGUGUGGGGAAGUUGGGGAGCAAAGGAGCAACUGUGGAUGCUCCAGAAAUAGGCACCUCCGCAGGGACGUGUGCGGGCGCGGGCUGGAGCCAUGGAUGUUGUCUCUGUGCUUGCAUCGUGAAUUCUGGCUGUGUGCUGCUGUCCUCUAAUUUCCCAUGACAACAUAUGGAUCCCAUAAAGGCAAACAUGCCGGAGUGCAUCUGUCUGGGUAGUUAACACAAACCAAACAUCCCCCUGCUCGGCGAUCCUGCUGCUCCUCUGGCCGCGCUGCGCGGAGCCCUCCUGCGACAGCCCCUCGCUGCUCCGGCAUUCCCCGUCACGCUCCCGGGGUGAGCCCGACUGCCCCGGGAGGGAGGAGGGCAGCAGGCGCCAGCUCAGGGGAGCGGAGAGGUUAAGCGGGAAGAGGGGCGCGCGCCCUGCGGCCCCCCGCCCUCCUGGGAGCUGGUCCAGCCCGAGCAGGCUCUGCCCUGGGGUCAAGUCCUAGGACAUCUUCCCUCCACUCCUGGCAAGGCAGGAGCUGAAGCUGGGAAGGGAAACAGCCAGAUGAGCGGAUGGCAGAGAUUUGCCCCUCGUCCUGGAUGCAGCCGUCUGGAGGCUGGGGAACGGGAGAGUUCCCAGUUUUCCGAGGUGCAAAAAGAGGUGGUGAGGGGAGGCUGUGUGUGAAAAGAAGGGAAGGAGCAAGUGACGGCCGCAGGACCAGCGGAUAAAACCACUACGCAAAUACCGAAAUGCAGCCAAGGAAUUAAGGGAUAAUUCGUACAGAAAUUGUUAGGUAUGAUUACAUGUAUGUGCAUGCGUGUCUCCUCUAGAAAAUUUGCUUUCCAUAAGAUUUCUUUGUUCUAGACAAAAAGAUAAUCUGGUUGCUAAAAUACAAGAAGGGGCUUCCCUUGCUUUAAUUAGAAAUCUUGAUACAGCCUCAUCUGCAAUAGUGCGGGUGCCUCUUGUUUCUAUACAUGUAUCUCUGCACACGCAUAGAUGGGAUUUUGGGUUCAAAUAGCUUUUAAUGUGCUUAGCAGAAAGAAGCUCUCAGUAUCAGAUCUGCAGGGAAAGUAAGACUGAUUUUUCCCAUAGGAAACUUGUUAAAGACACAGCUGAAUUAUUAGAUCAACCCGUUUUUUUGUCUCAUGGUAUAUCUGAUGUAUUUGCGCAUAGAAUUGUAGUUUAAUUUCCGUUAUUUUGAACAGAUGGAACGAAUAGCGGUGCUUUAAAGUUAUUAUUUGUAGAAAUGUAUACAAAUUAAGAGGAACAACUUUGAAGCAAAAUGUUUUUCUGAGGCAGCGCGUAUGGCUUUCUGGACAGGACUCUCGGCAAAGAUGGUUGUUAUCUCUGACAUGUAAAACAGGGGUGAGCAGCUCCAGUUUCCUGGGUUCUCCCCUGGAGACACGACCUGGCUGCCAGGGGGCUCGGGAGCAGCUCCCUGAGGCUGGGGUGGGUCAGAUUUGCAUGGGGCCGUGGUGACAGCACUUGACUCGGUCGAAUUUUUAGGGAGCCACAAGCAUAUUCCCUUGCUCGCCGCCUGGCACGGGGGGACCGGGCCAAGGCUUUGCGAUGCCGGAGGCCGACGGUGCACAAGGGGCUGAUGUAUGGGGAUAGUAAAAAAAAAAAUAAAUUUCCAGGCUAUCUUUUUAAAUUCAGGCUUUAAAAAUUAUUGGUGGUAGAGGGGAGAUCUAGCUUAGAAAAAAUCUCCGUAAUAUCCACUUCCACAGCUCUGUGCUUCUUGGAAAUGUGUCUGAAGAAUCAGAACAAAGCAUGGAAGGCCAGAGUCCUUGAAGGAGCUCCAAAUGAUAAAGUCUGCCAUUCAUUUUAAACACAGCGUGCAUUGUGGAAACACAGGUCAAUUUGAAGGCAUUUGUCAGAUUUCCAGUUCCCUCUGCUCCUUUGCAAUGGAAAUUUGCAAUCAAAUCCCCGUGCUGGAGUUGGGAUGUCUGCCUUGAUCAGUUUGUAUGACUUUAUGCCCAAAGCACUGGCCAGGUAAGCUAGCUUUUCCUUUGGAAAGUUUGUUUGUGUGGAGUUGAGCAGGAGAUGGGGGGAAGACUGAGGGGAAUCAAGCUGGAGCAGAUGCGUUUAUUCCAGGUUUGGAAAGGGGAAAGGGCAGGCGAUCGGCGGUGACGGAUUGCACAGGGCUGGCCGAGCUGCAGGAGUGAGCUGAUACCAUUUAGAGACGCCCAGCAAGAGGCAUGGCCAUAACACAAGAGGAGUGGAUGUGUUUGCCAUGGAAAUAAACACUUGGAAUACAUCUAUAUGUUUCUUGGCUUUUUGAGAGAAAUGAAGAAAAAAGUCUUGGCAUUUAAUUAGGAGUCACUAACCUGAUAAAUAUUGAACAUCGUUUCUUUGUGAGCUGUUCCCUGUGCUUGGAGUACUCUAUGGAUGUAUUCCACAAUUGCACUUGUUUAAUGCCUGUAUCACCUCAUGCCUAUUGUAUUUAUGUUGUCAUCAAUGUCAGAUUUUAAUUAAACAAUUAAAUCACUGUCACAGCAA